rnacentral:rRNA from 1 species
AACGAACGCUGGCGGCAGGCUUAACACAUGCAAGUCGAACGCCCCGCAAGGGGAGUGGCAGACGGGUGAGUAACGCGUGGGAAUCUACCCAGUCCUUCGGAACAACACAGGGAAACUUGUGCUAAUACCGGAUACGCCCUACGGGGAAGAUUAUCGGGAUUGGAUGAGCCCGCGUUGGAUUAGCUAGUUGGUGAGGUAAAAGCUCACCAAGGCGACGAUCCAUAGCUGGUCUGAGAGGAUGAUCAGCCACACUGGGACUGAGACACGGCCCAGACUCCUACGGGAGGCAGCAGUGGGGAAUAUUGGACAAUGGGCGCAAGCCUGAUCCAGCCAUGCCGCGUGAGUGAUGAAGGCCUUAGGGUUGUAAAGCUCUUUCAGUGGGGACGGAUAAUGACGGUACCCACAGAAGAAGCCCGGCUAACUUCGUG